rnacentral:rRNA from 1 species
UACGAAGGGGGCUAGCGUUGCUCGGAAUCACUGGGCGUAAAGCGCACGUAGGCGGCUUGUUAAGUCAGGGGUGAAAUCCUGGAGCUCAACUCCAGAACUGCCUUUGAUACUGGCGAGCUUGAGUCCGGGAGAGGUGAGUGGAACUGCGAGUGUAGAGGUGAAAUUCGUAGAUAUUCGCAAGAACACCGAGUCGGCAGGAGGCGCUCACGUGCCCGAUACUGACGCUGAGGCACGAAAGCGUGGGGGAGCCAAACAGG